CCGGGGAUAACAGGCUGAUCUUCCCCAAGAGUCCAUAUCGACGGGAUGGUUUGGCACCUCGAUGUCGGCUCGUCGCAUCCUGGGGCUGGAGUCGGUCCCAAGGGUUGGGCUGUUCGCCCAUUAAAGCGGUACGCGAGCUGGGUUUAGAACGUCGUGAGACAGUUCGGUCCCUAUCCGCUGUGCGCGUAGGAGUCUUGAGAAGGGCUGUCCCUAGUACGAGAGGACCGGGACGGACGAACCUCUGGUGUGCCAGUUGUUCUGCCAAGGGCAUGGCUGGUUGGCUACGUUCGGGAGGGAUAACCGCUGAAAGCAUCUAAGCGGGAAGCCUGCUUCGAGAUGAGGGCUCCCACCCACUUGAUGGGGUAAGGCUCCCAGUAGACGACUGGGUUGAUAGGCCGGAUAUGGAAGCACGGUAACGUGUGGAGUUGACCGGUACUAAUAGGCCGAGGGCUUGUCCUCAGUUG
rnacentral:rRNA from 1 species